CAGAGAGCGGAGCUGUCAGAAUGCCACUCAACUGCUAAUAAGCUACGGCCGUUAGCCUGCAAGUGUAAAUCCGCGAUAUAUUCUCUCAAUCCAGGAAGCAAUGGGGUCAGAGCAAGUUGAAUCCCAUGUCAGAAUUGUCCCCACGCUGACCUGCUCCUGACUGGCCUCCCAGCAAAAAGCCCCUGUGAAGAUCACCAACCCCCCGGUAUCCCAUGAAUACUGUAUCUAGUUUCCCUUUGAAGCCCUGGGACCCUGCAGAGUGACAUGCGACAGAGGAACUGGUAGAAAACCAAGGAAGUGAGCAUGGCAAUAGACUUGUAAAAGAGCAUGCAACAACUGCCAGCAGCAUGGGGUACAAACAGCACUGGGUUGACCUCAAACAAAGUGCAGAGGGAGGCGGGCCGGCUAAAGCUGAAGGCGAAAAGAGCUUUCCUGAUUCGAAGGUGAAAAACAUCCUCCUCCUCUUCCCCCGGACUCGAACAUCUGUCUCCUUGGUGUUGGCUGCAGCGCCGACUCUGACACCUCCAGAUGGAGAGCCCGCUGAGAGCGCUGAGGUAUUACCUGCAGAGAUGGCAGGGAUCACACCUCUGGAAUGAAGUCCCACUCUUGUUUUCUGCUCCGU